UACGAAGGGGGCUAGCGUUGCUCGGAAUUACUGGGCGUAAAGGGCGCGUAGGCGGACAGUUUAGUCAGAGGUGAAAGCCCAGGGCUCAACCUUGGAAUUGCCUUUGAUACUGGCUGUCUUGAGUUCGGGAGAGGUGAGUGGAAUGCCGAGUGUAGAGGUGAAAUUCGUAGAUAUUCGGCGGAACACCAGUGGCGAAGGCGACUCACUGGCCCCGAUACUGACGCUGA
rnacentral:rRNA from 1 species